CCCGUCUCUACUAAAAAUACAAAAAAAAAUUAGCUGGGUGUGGUGGCACGCGCCUAUAGUCCCAGCUACUUGGGAGGCUGAGGAAGGAGAAUCGCUUGAACCCGGGAGACAGAGGUUGCAGUAACCCGAGAUUGCACCACUGCACUCCAGCCUGGCAACAGAGCGAGACUCUGUCAAAAACAAAACAAAACAAAACAAAACAAAAAAAACAUAGUGGCUGGCCACAGUGGCUCACGCCUGUAAUCCCAACACUUUUAAGAGGCCAAGGCAAGAGGAUCACUUGAACUCGGAAUUCAAGACCAGCCUGGACAACAUAGUGUGACUCCAUCUCUACAAAAAAAAAAAAAAACAUAGCCAGGUGUGGUGGCAUACACCUGUGGUCCCAUACUCAGGAGGAUCACUUGAACCCGAUAGGCCAAGGCGGCAGUGAGCCAUGAUUGCGCCACUGUACUCCAGCCUGGGCGACAGAGACCUUGUCUCAAAACAAACAAACAAAAAAACCUUAGUGAUACAAGUCCUCUGCCAUAAAAGGAUCCCUUUCCUAGUAUUUUUACAUAUGUAAGAAAGGCUGGGCGCCGUGGCUCAUGCCUGUAAUCCCACUGCUUGGGAAUUUGAGGCAGGAGAAUUGCUUGAGUCCAAGAGUUUGAGAUCAGCCUGGGCAGCAUAGCAAGACCCCUGUCUACAAAAAAAAAAAAGGCCAGGUGUGAUAUACACCUGAAGUCCCAGCUACUCAGGAGGCUGAGGUGGGAGGAUCACUUGAGGCUGAGGUGGGAGGAUCACUUGAGAGUGGGAGUUCAAGGCUGCAGUGAGCCCUAACAGUGCCACUGCACUCAGCCUGGGUGACAGAGUGAGACUUCGUCUGAAAAACAUAAAAAAUAAGUAAACAAAUAAAUAUGCAAGAACAUAUUGCUGACUUUUGCAAUUUGAAAUAACUGAUUAGUUAACAUAAAAAAAAAAGUUAACCAUAUGGCUGCCUCCCAGCAACUCUAAGAGACUGUUUCUGCCACCAGCAACACAUUUAUAUUUUCCAAAUGAGAAAUGGAGUGAGUGCUGAAAUAUACAGCAUAAUACAACAUACUGGCCAUAUACAGGGAAGGGUUCACUAAGUGCAUUCUUUUGGGUUUUUUUGUUUUGUUUUUGUUUUUUGAGAUGGACUCUGGCUCUGUCGCCCAGGCUAGAGUACAGUGGCAUGAUCUCAGCUCACUGCAACCUCCGCCUCCUGGGUUCAUGCGAUUCUCCUGCCUCAGCCUCCCAAGUAGCUGGGACUAUAGGCAAGCGUCACCAUGCCCAGCUAAUUAAUAAGUGCAUUAUUUUAGCUCAGAAAAUAAGACAAAACAAAUAAUCAUAUAAUGCCCUAAAUAAAUGAAUAAAGACCAUCUUUUAACAAUACAUAUUAAAAUAAGCAAUGUUACUUAAAGAGGACCCUCUUCCUUUUGGCCUUAACAAUGAGAAAACCAUGUUUCUAGGCAUCUUCGGACAAUUACAGAGUGUUACACUCAGCAGCCAAGUGCACCUGGAGGCUAAGGACAGAUCUUGUCAAGACUGUUGACGAUUCGCAACACAAAAUUAUUAAAUUGCCAAAAACUUUUGCAUACCUUAGUAAUUAUAAUUUUAAAAACAAUCUCCAUACCUCUAGAAGGUUGAUUAGUGAUUUUGAAAGUGUUUAGUCAUGUGAUAACUAAAAAACCUAAAAGUCCUUGACACAUUUUUAUAAGUAGAAUUCAAAUAAAGGGAACAAGCACAACCUAGAAGGAAAACAAAAAUAGGUCUCAGAGGGAGGCGUGUGAACCUUUUCACAUUCAGAUUUAGAUACAAACUUCCCAUGACUUGCAUACAUGCUUCCUAACUUGUAACUACCUACUUCCCAUCCUGACCUAUCUUCACAACUUCUCAAGUUUUAAUUCCAGUUUAUUGAAUUGAGUGCACUUUUAUAAAGCAUCUCAAUUGAGACAUAGAUAAGCUAUACAUAGUAUGUAUUUCUUUUUUCUUUUUCUUUUCUUUUUUUUUUUUUUUUGAGACAGAAUCUCGCUUAGUCGCCCAGGCUGGAGUGCAGUGGCACAAUCUCAGCUCAUUGCAACCUCUGCCUCCCGGGUUCAUGUGAUUCUCAUGCCUCAGCCUCCCGAGUAGCCGGGACUAUAGGUGUGCACCACCAUGCCCAGCUAAUUUUUUUGUAUUUUUAGUAGAGACAGGGUUUCACCAUGUUGGCCAGGUUGGUCUCAAACUCCUGGCCUCAAGUGAUCCAUCCACCUUGGCCUCUCAAAGUGCUGGGAUUACAGGCAUCAGCCAGCAUGCCCGGCCAAUAGUAUGUAUUUCUUAUGUCUACUUAUCUCAGCUUAAUAUUUAAAAAACAAAAAUAAACCCCUGAAGUCUAUUUACAUGUGAUAGUCCCAGGAGCAGUGCAGUAUAGGGACUAAGAACAGGGACUCUAGAAGGUUCCGAUCAGUUCUGCCACUUACCAUACAAUCUUAACUAGAUUUUGUCUUGGGGACUCUAAUUUCUCAUUCCUCAUCAGGUAAACAGGAUAAAAUGAAUUAAAGAAUUCAAAAUGCUCAACACAGAGCCCAGCAGUUUGCUGCUAACAUUAUGAAAUGCUUACUCUGUGCCAGGCAAUAAAUAGUGCCUACUAUGUUAACAUGAUGUUAGGUUUAACAUGGUGCUCAAACAUUACUAUUCAUAAAUACUAUGAAUUUAUGUAUUAUGUAUAAAGUAUUUAAAAAUCAGCUAUUCGUAACAGUAUGUACAGUCUAGGUUUUGAAGUGUUCAGGUGACACAGAAAGGGGAAGUAGGAUACGGCAGCCGGUAGAUCCUGUAGGGUGAAUAGUAUCUGAGAAGCCAGACCCCACCAGCCCCAGUGAAGAAGUAACUUCAAAUGCAGUCUUAGUAGAGGGCACAGGGACAAGGUGGGGAGCCUUGGAACAACUUGUGGCAGAAGGCAGUUAGACCUGCUUUCUUCCCUCUCAGAAUUCUACAAUCCAGAAGAAGAUAAUAUAUAAUUAUAUGCCAACAGUGCUAAGCACUCGUGUGAUGAGCAGCCAAAAUAAGCUAGUAGGUGUUCCCACAGGCGAGGGAGGCAGUGUUGGGCAGGAACAAUCAAAAGAGCAAGAGAAAGCUGACACAGGGUGUGCAGGACUCAGACGCUGACACCUCCCCUGGGAGAAGUGGCAAAGAAUAGACAGUAAAUGAACGCAAAUAUUGUUCUCAAACCCACAGCUGUUAGUGCCUCUAUGUGGCAUAUUGGGAGAAUGUUAUUGGCACUGGCUAUAUUGCAGACUUGUCUCCUCUCUUCCCCAAAAAUGAGCAGACUCAGCACAAUUCCCUGAUGAUGCACAUGGAGAUAAGGAACUACAAGUACUUUAAAGAAGCAAAACAGUAAAACAGGCUGGGACUCUCUAUCUUUGUAGUUCAGUGUACUGACCACAAAUCAAACUAAGCAACUUCCUUAUUUUUUUCUUUUUCCUUCUUGCCCCCACAAAGCUUAGUCUAGCUAGCAACUUUCUUAAAUAAAGGUGUAUUCCAGACCCUUCUGUCUUACGGUGGGAAAGCUAAAUAAAUGAAUUUUUGGAGCUGCAUGUGGAUUGCUUCAUCAAUAGAAAGACAUAUUCAAAUCAAUUUACCAAAUAAUUUAUGAAAGUUACAACAGGAAAAACUACAUGAGAAAAGAAAAAAGCAGAAAUAUAAAACAGCCAUUUCACUUUUACAUGUUUUUUACAACCGUUGGUAUACUUUACCUCUGAAAAGAGGUGUACAGCAUGGAAAUACAAUUCAAACCCAUGCAUCUUGUUAGCAAUUUUUUUUUUUUAAGACGGAGUCUCACUGUGGCCAGGCUGGAGUGCAGUUGCACGAUCUCGGCUCACUGCAACCUCCGUCUCCAGGGUUCAUGUGAUUCUCCUGCCUUAGCCUCCCAAGUAGCUGGGACUACAGGGGUGUGCCACCACACCCAGGUAAUUUUUGUAUUUUUAGUAGAGACAGGGUUUCACCAUGUUGGCCAGGAUGGUCUCGAUCUCUUGACCUCGUGACCAGCCAGCCUCGGCCUCCCAAAGUGCUGGGAUUACAGGCGUGAGCCUCCGCGCCUGGCCACAGUUAGCAAUUUUUAUAAAAUGUCUGGGUAAGGACAAGUCUGUUUUAGGCCAAAAACAACAUACCUAUAGAUUUCAUCUAUAUAACAUUAAUCUUCUUGGGUGAUCCAGAACUAGAUUAAUCUAUAAGAAUAAAACCAUAAAGGCAAAAUCUUACACAAGAACUUAUGAAUGUAUGCCUUUAUAUUGUUCAACUACAUAAUCUAAUUUAGUGUUUUU
rnacentral:lncRNA from 10 species